rnacentral:other from 1 species
AGAGUCCUGAAGUGUUAGUCGAAAGUCGAUAUGUUUUGACCGAACAUUUUUUGAAAGGGAGCCUGGACGUUUUCGCUGGACGCGCACGCCCGGAAUCGGGAAGCGGAGAAAGUGAAACAGGGCACCCACCUGCCGGAGAGCGGGUUUCAAAGCGACGGCUUAGCAACGGCACAUUUGGGGCUCUU